AUGAACGCUGGCGGCGUGCUUAACACAUGCAAGUCGAGCGAAGCACCUAAGAAAGAUUCUUCGGAUGAAUUCUUUUGUGACUGAGCGGCGGACGGGUGAGUAACGCGUGGGUAACCUGCCUCAUACAGGGGGAUAACAGUUAGAAAUGACUGCUAAUACCGCAUAAGACCACGGUACCGCAUGGUACAGUGGUAAAAACUCUGGUGGUAUGAGAUGGACCCGCGUCUGAUUAGCUGGUUGGUGGGGUAACGGCCUACCAAGGCGACGAUCAGUAGCCGACCUGAGAGGGUGACCGGCCACAUUGGGACUGAGACACGGCCCAAACUCCUACGGGAGGCAGCAGUGGGGAAUAUUGCACAAUGGGGGAAACCCUGAUGCAGCGACGCCGCGUGAAGGAUGAAGUAUUUCGGUAUGUAAACUUCUAUCAGCAGGGAAGAAAAUGACGGUACCUGACUAAGAAGCCCCGGCUAACUACGUGCCAGCAGCCGCGGUAAUACGUAGGGGGCAAGCGUUAUCCGGAUUUACUGGGUGUAAAGGGAGCGUAGACGGCAUUGCAAGCCAGAUGUGAAAGCCCGGGGCUCAACCCCGGGACUGCAUUUGGAACUGUAGAGCUAGAGUGUCGGAGAGGCAAGUGGAAUUCCUAGUGUAGCGGUGAAAUGCGUAGAUAUUAGGAGGAACACCAGUGGCGAAGGCGGCUUGCUGGACGAUGACUGACGUUGAGGCUCGAGAGCGUGGGGAGCAAACAGGAUUAGAUACCCUGGUAGUCCACGCCGUAAACGAUGACUACUAGGUGUCGGGUAGCAAAGCUAUUCGGUGCCGCAGCAAACGCAAUAAGUAGUCCACCUGGGGAGUACGUUCGCAAGAAUGAAACUCAAAGGAAUUGACGGGGGCCCGCACAAGCGGAGGAACAUGUGGUUUAAUUCGAUGAUACGCGAGGAACCUUACCCGGGCUUGAACUGCAGUGGAAUUAUCCGGAAACGGAUAAGCGAGCAAUCGCCGCUGUGGAGGUGCUGCAUGGUUGUCGUCAGCUCGUGUCGUGAGAUGUUGGGUUAAGUCCCGCAACGAGCGCAACCCCUAUCUUCAGUAGCCAGCGGUAAGGCCGGGCACUCUGGAGAGACUGCCAGGGAUAACCUGGAGGAAGGUGGGGAUGACGUCAAAUCAUCAUGCCCCUUAUGACCAGGGCUACACACGUGCUACAAUGGCGUAAACAAAGGGAAGCGAGACCGCGAGGUGGAGCAAAUCCCAAAAAUAACGUCUCAGUUCGGAUUGUAGUCUGCAACUCGACUACAUGAAGCUGGAAUCGCUAGUAAUCGCGAAUCAGAAUGUCGCGGUGAAUACGUUCCCGGGUCUUGUACACACCGCCCGUCACACCAUGGGAGUCAGUAACGCCCGAAGUCAGUGACCUAACCGUAAGGAAGGAGCUGCCGAAGGUGGGACCGAUAACUGGGGUG
rnacentral:rRNA from 1 species